rnacentral:rRNA from 1 species
UUGCACGCUGGCGGCAUGCUUUACCCCUGCCAGUCGAACGGCAGCGCGGGCUUCGGCCUGGCGGCGAGUGGCGAACGGGUGAGUAAUGCAUCGGAACGUGCCCAGUAGUGGGGGAUAGCCCGGCGAAAGCCGGAUUAAUACCGCAUACGACCUGAGGGUGAAAGCGGGGGACCGAAAGGCCUCGCGCUAUUGGAGCGGCCGAUGUCGGAUUAGCUAGUUGGUGGGGUAAAGGCUUACCAAGGCGACGAUCCGUAGCUGGUCUGAGAGGACGACCAGCCACACUGGGACUGAGACACGGCCCAGACUCCUACGGGAGGCAGCAGUGGGGAAUUUUGGACAAUGGGGGCAACCCUGAUCCAGCCAUGCCGCGUGCGGGAAGAAGGCCUUCGGGUUGUAAACCGCUUUUGUUCGGGAAGAAAUCCUCUGGGCUAAUACCCCGGGGGGAUGACGGUACCGGAAGAAUAAGCACCGGCUAACUACGUG